AAGACUAUACUUUCAGGGAUCAUUUCUAUAGUAUGUUACUAGAGAAGUUUCUCUGAUCGUGUAGAGCACCCGAAACCAUGAGGAUGAGUCAGAGCACCCUCUCCUGAGCGUGAAGCUGGCUCUAGGUGUUGCUUUUGCAACUGCCUUUUGCCAUUGAUGAUCGUUCUUCCCUUCUUUUUGGAAGGGUAAGAGGGAGAGGAUGCAGUCUGAGUGGU